AGUCUUAUAUUCAACAAUGAUUUUAAAUUGCAAAUUUAAAGGUGGCAUUUAGUCUAAGGCUU
rnacentral:tRNA from 1 species